rnacentral:rRNA from 1 species
CAGCCGCCACGGGAAUACGAAGGGGGCUAGCGUUGUUCGGAAUUACUGGGCGUAAAGCGCACGUAGGCGGACUUUUAAGUCAGGGGUGAAAUCCCGGGGCUCAACCUCGGAACUGCCUUUGAUACUGGAAGUCUUGAGUGUGGAAGAGGUAAGUGGAAUUGCGAGUGUAGAGGUGAAAUUCGUAGAUAUUCGCAGGAACACCAGUGGCGAAGGCGGCUUACUGGUCCACAACUGACGCCGAGGAGCGAAAGCGUGGGGAGCGAACAGGAUUAGAUACCCCCGUAGUCCCUGUCUCUUAUAA